GGUCAAGGUUGGGUCAAGGUUGGGUCAUUGGGUCAAUGGGUCAAGGUUGGGUCAAGGUUGGGUCAAUGGGUCAAGGUUGGUCAAGGUUGGGUCAGUGGGUCAAGGUUGGGUCAAGGUUGGGUCAAUGGGUCAAGUUUGGUUCAAUGGGUCAGGGUUGGGUCAUUGGGUCAAGGUUGGGUCAAGGUUGGGUCAAUGGGUCAAGGUUGGGUCAUUGGGUCAUUCUCCCCCCCACAGGUCCCCCCAGAAGUGACCACGCCCCCCCCGCCUGGCCCCGCCCCCUCCCCCCAGGGCGGCUUCCGGAACCUUCCGGGGGGAAAUUCCGCGAUUUCAUGGGAAAAUUCCACCAUUUUGGGGCAAAAUUCUGCAAUUUUGGGCAGAAAUUCCCCAAUUUUGGCUGCAAAUUCCUCAAUUUUGUGUGGGAAUUUGCCAAAUUUAGAUGGAAGUUCCUCAAAUUUGGGGGAAAAUUCCUUAAAUUUGAGUGAAAAUCCCACAAAUUCGGGUGGAAAUUCCUCAAAUUUGGGUGGGAAUUCCUCAAUUUCAGGCAGGAAUUCCCCAAAUUUGGGUGCAAAUUCCUCCAAUUUGGGUGCAAAUUCCUCAAAUUUGAGUGGGAAUUCCACAAUUUCGGACAGGAAUUCUCCAAAUUUCGGUGUUAAAUCCCCAGUUUUGGGCGGGAAUUGCCCAAUUUUGGGUGCAAAUUCUUCAAAUUUGGGUCGAAAUUCCUCCAAUUUGGGUGGAAAUCCCCCAAUUUUGGGCGGAAAUUCCUCAAUUUCGGGUGGAAAUCCCCCAAAUUUAGGCAUAAAUUCCCCAAUUUUGGGCGGGAAUCCCCCAAAUUUAGGCGGAAAUUCCCCAAUUUCGGGGCUCCCUCACCUGUGCCAGGUGCGCGGCCUUGGCCACGCCCACCCGGGGGGGCCCCGGGACCCCCAAAUCCCAAAUUUGGGGCAGCCCCGGAAGAAAGAAGAGGAAGAGGAGGAUGAAGACAUGGGGGGGUCCGAGCCCGCCGAAAUGGCGGCGGAACCCCAAAACCCCGACGGAGGAGGGGAGGUGCCCCCAAACCGGAGCUCGAGCCCCGCUGGUGACAAAGGAGACCCCAAAAUUCCGGGGGAAUAAUUUGGGGAUGAGGGGGGGAUUUUUUUUCCCAAAAUUUAUCCCAAAAUUUGAGGGGAGGAGGGGUUUGGGACCCCCUCCCCACAAAACUCCUUCCCCCCACAUCCUCAUCAAUAAAACCCUUGGCUGCGCCCUCCUCCCCA
rnacentral:lncRNA from 1 species